rnacentral:lncRNA from 1 species
GAGUUCCAGGAGGCCUAGGAACAGGCUUAGGAGCAGGAGGACUUGGAGGAGUACAGAGAGGAGUACCUGGAGGAGGAGCAGGGGGUGUACCAGGAGGAGGAGCAGGGGGUGUACCUGGGGCUGGAGGAUAUUAUCCCGCUGCAGCCAAAGCUGCUAAAUAUGGUAAGAAAAAUGUACAUUGGUUGAAUUCAUGGUGAAAUUUCUGUACAUUUUGGUACAUUAUCAAAUUUCUGUACAUUACCAUGUGUCAACUCAUGACUCGCCCUCUCCUGUGUUAUAGGUCAGGGGGCUGCUGGUGGGCCAGGGGGUGGAUAUGGUGGCGUGCCUGCUGGAGGAUAUCCCAGGCCUGGGGGCUAUGGGGGGUAUGGAGGGGCAGGAGCUGGAGGGUAUAAUCCUGCUGCGGCCAAAGCUGCUAAAUAUGGUAAGAAGAAGAGUAAUAUGUCUACUAUAUCUUAAGCAGUUCUGAAUGGAGACAUUAUUUCAAAAUAAUAAAAUGUUCUUCUUGUGGAGUCCCAGGAGCUGGAGGAGCAGGCCUAGGAGCUGGAGGAGCAGGCCUAGGAGGAGCAGGAGGAGUACCAGGGCCUGGGGCUGGACCAGGAUAUGGAGGCUAUGGAGGAUAUGGAGGGGUACCAACAGGAGGGGCUGCUGCUGCGGCCAAAGCUGCUAAAUAUGGAGUACCAGGAGGUGCAGGAGCAGGCCUUGGAGCUGGAGGACUUGGAGGAGUACCAGGGGCUGGAGGAUAUAACCCUGCAUUGGCCAAAGCGGCUAAAUAUGGUAAAAUCCCUCAAAACAAUCAAUCUUAUUCAGUGUUGGUACAUUGGUUGAAUUUACGUCCAUCUUUGGCUUUUUAAAUUGUGGUGUAACAAACCUACUGUAUCUUUGGCAGUUCUGAAGUUGGACAGUCCAUUCAAAAUCAAAUUGUUUUCUUGUGGUCCUCUACCACAGGAGUCCCCGGAGGUGCAGGAGCAGGCAUAGGAGCUGGAGGAGCAGGAGGAUUACCAGGAGGAGGAGCAGGGGGUGUACCUGGGGCUGGAGGAUAUUAUCCCGCUGCAGCCAAAGCAGCUAAAUAUGGUAAGAUCACUCAUCAGAGUUGGUAUAUUGGUUGAAUUCAUGCUCAUUCAUGUUGGUUUUGAAAUCAUAUAUUUUCCUUGUGAACCUCUACACAGGAGUCCCAGGAGGUGUAGGAACAGGCCUAGGAGCAGGAGGACUUGGAGGAAGAGGACAGGGAGGAGUACCUGGACAAGUAGGAGCUGGAGGUACGUCAGAGGAUGUGUAUGAAUGGUAAAGACAUCAGAAAGAGCUCAAACAGUAUCAUGGUCUAGUCUGUCUUUCUAUGCGAUAUC